GCUGACCGUACGUACCGGCAAUAGUCAAUCGCAUCUGUCAAGACAGGAGAAGUCGACGACGACCACAGCGCGACGAAGAUCGAGACGACGACCAUUAUAUGGACUUGUUGAGACGAAUUCGACGACGACCAAAUAGACUUGAGACGACUUCGGUGGCGGCCUACAAGACUUGAGACGACUAGAGACGGCGGUAUUCAUAUUAUUAUAACAUCGCGACCAGGUGGAGCGGCGACGGCCAUUACCUAUAUUAUAACGUGUACACGCGUAAUGCGUGUGACGAGACUCACGGAUUUACGUCUGGAGAAUUCGAAUCAACGGAUUAUGGCCUCAAUGUACACACACGAACAGACGUCGCGUACUGCAUAAUAUAUUAUAUUAUUAUUCCAACACAAUAUAAUAUAACCGUAAUGGCGUGUGGCUGCAACGCUGCAGCGCGGAAGUGAAGAGGAAAUGAAAAACAAUAGUAAAGAUGUGCCGGAGAUCCAAGUACAAGCUGUUGUCGGUCCGUCCGUCCUCGUCCGAGCACCGAUGCAGAGCUGCAAAUGUCGACGAAUAAUGCGUGGCACCCUGUACGUAUACUAAAUGUAUCCUGAGUGCAUUAUAAAACUGUCCGGUAUACCUUCAGUAUACGUAACAGGGUGCCAUACCGAUCGUCCGGAAGUGGUCCCGCGGCGUGGCCUGCAGCAGCUCAGCGUCCCUGCGACGACGUCUUUUUCGUGUACAAUUUUAUUAUUAUAAUAAUACAUUGGUAUAAUAUACAAAUCAUUGUCGUCAUUGGUCGGGCGUUACCGCGAAUACAUGUAAAAUAUUUAGAUUGUUACAAGAAAAAAAAUUAAUGCACUGCGCUUGCGCUUGCGCAUCUAUCACAUUAAUAGGCAUAUUAUAUUUUAUUACAAUUCAUUAUUAUAAUAUAUAACAUCGCAAGAAGUAUACCUGUAUACCUACACGUGUUAUAUAAUAUAUUAUAUAGGUACAUUAUGAUUUUUAUUAUAUAAAUUAUUUGUAAUAUUGUUUUACUUGGCAAGCCUACUCGAUUCAUUUGUAAUUUUUUUUUUAUUUUAUUAUUAUUACAAUAUAUCUGUUUGAGUUAACAUAUAAUUCUCACUUUUGAAAAAGAAAAACAAUUUAUAUCUCUUGUACUGUUAUUAUAUUAUUAUUAUAUGUCUGUUAUCGGUCGCGAGAUUCUAAUCGGAAAUUAAAAAUAAUAUACAUACCUAUAACAUACGUACCUACAUUUAUAUAUUAUAUUACAUUAUUAGAUAUAUAUUGUGCAUUAUACGCUCGCGAAACCCGUUUGCCCCGAUGGGAAAUUGCACGACAGUAAAUCCGUAAUGUUUACGAUGUUUAUACGAUACGAGAAACGUGUAGGUUUAUUAUUAUCAUUAUUAUUGGUAUAUUAUUAUAUAGUAGCAGCGUUUUUGUAUAUAAUUGACGGCGAAGAGUAGGCUUGCGCAAUGUGCUCUCAUAUUAUACAGAUUUCUUUAAAAGGCGCGUUACAAUAAUACAUAUUAUAUUGCGUAAAAUGCAUAAUAUAUUAUAAUAAUUAUAUUAUAUGUGAUGCGUCGUGCCUAACGAUUUUUCAAAAGACGUUUUGUAAUUUUUUUUUUAAUGUGUUCGUUCGAUCAUAUACGAGCGUCGGGCUUACAAUAAAAUAAUUAUACGUU